GAAGGUAUAGCUCAAAGUAGUAGAGCACAUGCUUAGCAAGCAAGAGGUCCUGGGUUCAAUCCCUAGUAGCUCCU
rnacentral:tRNA from 1 species